rnacentral:rRNA from 1 species
AUGUAAGCACAUGUAUGAGUCAAUCCGGGCCCUCAAUCUACAACCACGAGGAAGAGAAAGGGGGAAAACAACAAGAAAAGAAAUGAUCGCUGCCCCCGUCUCUGGCGACAUCCCAACCGGAGCGCCGCCGCCGCCAGCUCCGGCGGCGGAGGACUCUCCGCCGUACGGCUCCGUGGUCCUAGGAGGCACCUUCGACCGCCUCCACGACGGCCACCGACGCCUCCUCAAGGCGUCGGCAGAUUUGGCGAGGGAUCGGAUCGUGGUGGGCGUCUGCACGGGCCCCAUGCUUGCCAAGAAGGAGUACGCUGAGCUUAUCGAACCCGUGGAGAAGCGCAUCCAGGCCGUGGAGGAUUACAUCAAGUCUAUUAAACCAGAACUGAUAGUACAAGUGGAGCCUAUUGAGGAUCCAUAUGGCCCAUCCAUUAUUGAUGAUAAGUUGCAUGCAAUUAUUGUCAGUAAGGAGACACUGAACGGUGGACUCUCUGUAAAUCAGAAAAGAGAAGGGAAAGAACUGCCGUUGUUGAAGGUUGAGGUUGUUGAUCUUUUAUCUGGAGACACCGAGGGAGAAAAAUUGAGUUCAUCUGCUUUAAGGAAGCUUGAGGCUGUGCAAGCUGAACAGCAGAAAGCAACAAUAGCUAAUCAGAAAGGUGUUUAGACAGGAAAUAUAGUGGAAUCUUGAGCUGCAUACACAAAUCUGAAGUGGUCCGCUGAAGCUUGUUAUCAACAAAAAGGAAUUAGAAAUGGCAUUUUGGCUUCCUUUUUGAACGAAUGGUCUUCAAACGUCGACCUAUGUCCCUGUAACACUAUAUUGCUCUACUCUGAAUGGUAUAAACUUACAAAGUCAAUGUUGGUAAGCUAGACUAACCAAAUGUACACAUAUUUUGUCCUGGCAUUGCCAUCUAGCUGUAAAGUCACCUUGAGGUCGUUUGGAAUAAUGGUAACCAACUAAAUGAAUUUGGUGCCUCUUUUGUGACGUGUUUAUGUGAUGUGUACUUCAUAAGAAGUCAUGCAAUAUAACUGUAGCAUUUGCUCCAUUUCGAUCCACUGUUGUUCUUGGGUCUCUUUGCAGAAACCAGGUAUGUACGAUUUACUUUGGUUGAUUACGAGUUAACAAGAGUAAUUGUCGUCAUGAGUCAUUGUAGUAAGAGGUACUCACUUGUAAUUUAGGGCCAUUAAAUUGUUUUUAGGGAAAGGACCAGUAAUUAUCUGAUGCAAAUUGUAACAAUGCCUUUGUAUGCUGUUUUUGUUGUAGCAUAAAUACAAUAAAAAAUGCUGGUAAGACUUGCAAAACAAAAGAUUAAUUGCUUAUGUACAAUAUAUCCAGCAAAUAAAUGGCAAGUUCAAGAUAUGAAGUGGCAAAUCCACAGCCAUAGAUUCACAACCCCAUGUCCACAUCAGUACAAGCAGAACAGACAAAAAACCAUCAAAAUUCUAGUUCUCACACACCACACACACAAGUCUUGCACACAUGUCUGCUGGUAGUUCUCAUGUUUCUAUGGCCUGAAGUUAUCCCGGGCUUAGAAAUGAGGUGACCAAGGCAAAGAACUUGUCUCCAUGGCCACCUCACAACUCACGGGAGCACUGGUACGUGACCUCUAUUUAUUUCCCUUACAAGUCUAUGGAAGAACUCGCAAAGAUUUGUGUAGGAGUUACAUAGUUAUUUUCCCUUUUGCUGGGUUUUUGUUUGUUAUAUCCCCAGCAUUUUCUUGCCCCUAGGAACUAACCCAUAUACAAUUUGAUCUAACUUUGCAUACAGAGAUCAAGAAAUGGCUUGUUCAACCACAUUUAGGGUUCCCAGUGGGUUAGGAUUCUUGGGGCCUUCCAAGAUUGGUCGGAAUCCUUUGAGAAACAAAGGUGGUGUCCGGUCAGGAGCAAAGUAUGUGGCACCAACGUGUGCAGUCUCCUCUGCUAGGCCAGCGUCACAGCCUAGGUUCAUACAGCACAAGAAGGAGGCCUUCUGGUUCUACAGGUUUCUUUCUGUAGUAUAUGAUCAUGUUAUAAACCCAGGGCAUUGGACUGAGGACAUGAGGGAUGAUGCAUUGGGACCCGCUGAACUCUAUGACAAUGAGUUCAAGGUUGUUGAUGUUGGCGGUGGAACUGGGUUCACUACAUUGGGGAUUGUCAAGCAUGUGGACAACGACAAUGUGACCCUGCUGGACCAGUCACCACACCAGAUUGAGAAGGCUCGGCAGAAGGAGGCACUGAAGGGGGUGAGCAUCAUGGAGGGUGAUGCUGAGGACCUCCCCUUUCCAACUGACACAUUUGACCGUUAUGUCUCCGCUGGAAGCAUUGAGUAUUGGCCUGACCCGCAGCGAGGAAUCAAGGAAGCUUACAGGGUCGUAAAGCCUGGCGGGCUUGCCUGUUUGAUCGGUCCAGUUCACCCAACAUUUUGGCUAUCUCGCUUCUUCGCCGACAUGUGGAUGCUCUUCCCCACGGAAGAAGAGUACAUAGAGUGGUUCACCAAGGCAGGGUUCGAGGAUGUCAAGCUCAAAAGGAUCGGGCCCAAGUGGUACCGUGGUGUUCGUCGGCAUGGCUUGAUCAUGGGAUGCUCCGUGACAGGCGUGAAGAGAGCUUCUGGCGACUCCCCUUUGCAGCUCGGUCCCAAGGCUGAGGAUGUUGAGGAACAGGUGAAUCUUCUCGCCUUCCUCUUCCGCUUCGCCAUCGGGACGAUAUGCGCGUCGUACUACGUGCUAGUGCCUAUCUACAUGUGGAUCAAGGAUCAGGUUGUUCCCAAAGGCCAGCCUAUUUAAGCAAUGGUAGUGAAGAUCCAUUUUUCGCUUCUGUAUGUUAGCCACCUGUAGUGCUUGCAGUUCCCUACUCAUGUAUGUUUGUGCUUUUCUUUUCGUCAAAAUCUUGUUUAUGCAAAUGGACUUUGUGCACUUGUGGAAUUAUAGAGGCUAGGGAUGUAAUAUUCCCAUUUAUGGUAUGAAAUGCAAAGGAGCUUGAUGGAGCAGCAAAAUGCAUCCUCUAGCAUGGUGAAAACUGCCAUAGAAAUAAAUAAGAGCUCUGAGACCAAAUUUUGAACUGAAAAUCCAGUGACGAACUUGUUAGGUUCAAAUUUGUUGAGUCCCCUUGUUGUCUUUGAUAUAUCCUGUAUUCCUGUAUUCCCUACAUACAUAUGCCCACAUUACCAAGACCACACACUGGAAGAGGAAACAAGCAUUGUCAUGGAAAGAGUAGCAUCUUAUAUAUAAAGUCCAUGCAUGAGUCAAGAAGAGAUCAUAUGCUCUGAACAUCUCAUGCAGAAAGCAUUGAAGUCGGUACAUCAGACCCAACAGACAUUACAAAAGAAAAGUCGAGCAGAUAUAUGAUUCAGCAUGUAUGAUAUCAUGGAG